UAUAUUGUACUCUCCCAAGCACUUGAAUAAAUACAAUUGAAUGGGAGGGAGAUGAAUUGAGUGAAAGGAGGGUGGGCCAGCCCGGAGUUUAAUGGUCUACAGGUGGAGAGGAAUUUGAAAGGCCCGAGAGGAGGCGGUGGUGAAUGUUGUGGUAGCUGAGAGGGUGGUGGAAGUGGGAAGGUGAUAGGACUAAUUAGGGAAUGCCUGCUGGAGGUGAUGACUUUUUAGGAGGGGUUUAGAAAGAGAUGAUCUGGUAUGAUCUGGUAAAGAGAAAGCUGAAGCGCUCUGAGGUUCUGCUGAGGAAGAAGCUCCUGAAAGAAGACAGGCCGGAAGGAGGAGAGAGGAAAGAUAAACAAGGCGAUGACAGCCACCAGCAUCCCAAUCAGGACCAGGCCGGCACUCACACCUUCGAUCACGCCAAACAAGGGUUCUGAAAAUUGAAGAGAGUGCUCGAUUCCCAGGCACAAAAAUGAGGCCCACUGAGGAAGACCCUUUUCUUCUUGACAGAUGCAGGCCAUUUCCCUAAUUGAGGGGGUAGAUUUUAGCCUCUAAGGUUAUUCUCUCCCUAACUACGCCUGUGAACAUCCUGGCACAUGAGAGGAACUGAGCCAGUGAGUUCUCGUUGGGUUCUCCCGGCCCCUAAAAAAUGAAAGGGAGAUUUCCAGAGAUCCUUGGGUAGUGAGGGACCAUUCAGCGGAUGGUUGAAAUGCCCUAAAUGGAGGAAUGAUGGUGUAGAAAGGCCUGGCUUAACACCGUAGGCGCAAUCAUAAAAACGUCCUUCCACAAAACUUCCAAAGUUGAGGAAUGGUUCACAGAAAUUGGAGCAAGGCAACAAGUUUCUCUCCAGGCCUUCCGAUCCCCAUUCAUUCACCCCGAGGUGGCAAAUGGCAUCCCUUGCUUCUGUUAAUAAAGAACAGGGUGGAGCUGGAGGGCUGCCAUGUUUGCUCGUCUGCCCAGUUACACUGCUGGCCGCCAUCUUCUCUGA